CCGCCCCUGCCCGCCCUAGUGCCGCGCCUGACGCUGCGACUCAGCUGCCCGCCGCUGCCGGGCUCCCGUGCCCUCCCUCGCUGUCGGGCUCGUGUGCACGGGGGUGGAGAGGGGGAUCGCUGCCGGGGUGGCGCGGCGCUGCUCGGCUCUAUCCCCGGCACCGCGGGUGCCUGGCUGGGGGCUGGGGCCGCCACCUUCAGCUGCACCGCAGAAACCCUAAAGGCAGGCUAGGAAUAAGGAAUUGAAUUGAUCUGAGUCCUUCAUUGCUGAAUCUAGGGUUUACCUGGGUUAUAAGGGUUUACCUGGGGACUUACCCAGAUCUCACUGUAGAAAACAAGAUAACCUCAAGACAAGAUAAUUUUCAUCUCUCCCAAGGAACUGAGAUUGUGGAUCCAGAUAUCUGAAAUUCCAAUGGCUCAGCACUUACUGAAAAAAGUCAUCCCCCUGGUGAUCUUUAUGUACAGUAAUUUAAAGACCUUUCAUUUCUCAGAAUGAAAAAAAAAUAAAGGCUAGAUUUCAAUUGC